UUGCAGGAAAAGAACGAUGUUAAGCUUGAGAAAGUUCUAAAGGAAGCAGCUAUGGAAAACAAAACAGUAAUAUUAACAACUUUGAAUGCUGCCUGGGCUUCUCCUGGUUCUAUUAUAGAUUUGUUUUUUCAAAGUUUUCGGACAGGAGAUGGAACACGCAGACUCCUGGACCAUUUGGUAAUCAUUGCCUUGGACAAGAAAGCGUACAUAAGAUGAGAAGAUUUACAUGACUGCUGGAUAUUUGUCAAUGAUGUGGAGAAGGAUAGAAUUUCUGCGUGUUAUUCUCGAAAUGGGAUACAACUUUAUUUUCUCGUUUACAAAUCUCAAGUACUCCAGAGUUGAAAUUGAUGAAGUGCG